rnacentral:lncRNA from 1 species
UUUUUAGUAAUGGGGACUGACCUUAGGCAAGCACUCUACCACAGAGCUACCUUCUCAGCCUUGGAACAUUGUUUUAAGCAUUGAUGCCAUCAUAUCAACCUUGUUGUUUGACUCUCAGAAGAGACAAAACUUUUGAAUUAAUGAUGGAAGGUUGACUUAAUGGGAUUAGUAAUGGAGAGACUUUAGGAUGUCAUAGAAGAAUGAUAUGAAUUAAUUUUAAGGAAAAUUAAUUAAUUUACACAUUCCAAUGAAAAUAGUUCUAGUUUUAAUUGCUAAUAGCAAGAAGUUACCUGUUGUAGAACAGAGAGGUCAUAGUUCAUAUAUUUUUAAUUUUUAGUUUAAUUUACUUGACUAAAUGCCAAUGAAAUAUUAAAGCCAAUACAAAUUACUUGAAAAUAAAAUGGAAGUUGAUUCUGGUAAAAUUAUAGUCUACUGAUACUAUUGAGCUACUCUUAAACUAUACUCAUCUAUACCCCAGAUUAUUAUGCUGACAUGAAGUUAGUUUCUAUUUCUUAGGAGGGGUCCCAUACCAAACAAGACAGAAUUUUGAAUAAUAUUGUUAAGAAUGUAAGUAUUUGAGACUGAUAUAGAAUCUUCUAAUCUUAUGGAUAUAGCAUUCAGAAGAACAGUUUAGUAGUUCUACUUAUAUUUAUAGCACCUUGAAGUAUAUUUAUUUAUAAGUCUUUGUUCUUAUAGAAUUUAUAUUUUUGAGAUAAAGAUUUCUUGGGGUGCUGCCAGAACAUUUUAAAUUAAAAAAAUUUUUUUAAGCAAUGAAAAAAAAACACAAGACAAGUUCUUUAAUAAAAUAUUUGUGCCAAGAAAACCAAUUUUUCUUUAUAAAUAUAUAUUUUUGGCAUUAGAGGGACUGGUAAUCCUGUUUGUUGUACAGGAAUCAGGAUAAACCUCAUUGGAUAAGGGCUGGUAGAGAAAUGGAUUAUUAUAUAUAGGAAGCACAAUAUUUCUGUAAGAUAUUUGAAGAAGCCCCAUGUUUUAGUCAGCAUUUUUGUCACUAUGACUAAAAGGACUAAAGGAUCAAACAACUGUAGAGGAGGAAAAGUUUAUUUAAGGGCUCAUGGUUUUAGAGGGCUCAAUUUGUAGAUAGAAGAGUCUAUUCCUUGGGUCUCAAGGUGAGGCUGAACAUCAUGGCAGAGGAACGUGGCUCACAUGAUGAUGAAAGAGAAGGAAAGAAAGAGAGAGAUCUCCACUUGCCAGAUACAAAUAUAUGCCCCAAAGCCACGCCCCCAAUGAACCACUUCCUCUAGCCACACCCCACCUGCCUCCAGUUACCACUCAGUUAAUCCCCUCAGGGAUCAAUUCACUGCUUUGGUUAAGGUAAUAACCCAAUCAUUUCUCCUCCCAGUCUUCUUGCAUGAUCUCACGUGGACUUUUGGGGGACACCUCACAUUUAAACCAUAACACCCCAUAAAACUUCAUUGUGGAUUAUAUGAAAUCUUGAACUGGUUGAAUAACUAUGUGAAAGUAAAUUUUGUUUGUUUUAGUGCUACAUUCUUGGAUCUAUCCUAACUAAUGUUUACAUCAAUAAACUGAAUAAAAAAAUAGUGACUUAGCCAUAAUUUUAACAAAUUAAAAAAGA